CCACUCACUGAUUGUGAAAUGGUCUCUUAUAUUUUAUCUGGGCUGAAUUCGGAGUAUGAUUCUUUUGUUACCACUAUCACCUCACAGCUUGAUCCAAUUUCAAUGGAAGAACUCUAUGGUCACCUUCUCACAUUUGAAU